rnacentral:rRNA from 1 species
AACGUAGGUCACAAGCGUUGUCCGGAAUUACUGGGUGUAAAGGGAGCGCAGGCGGGAAGACAAGUUGGAAGUGAAAUCCAUGGGCUCAACCCAUGAACUGCUUUCAAAACUGUUUUUCUUGAGUAGUGCAGAGGUAGGUGGAAUUCCCGGUGUAGCGGUGGAAUGCGUAGAUAUCGGGAGGAACACCAGUGGCGAAGGCGGCCUACUGGGCACCAACUGACGCUGAGGCUCGAAAGUGUGGGUAGCAAACAGG